AGGUUUGCAGCCUGCGAGUUUGCACCUCGGUGCUGAUGUUGGAGAGCAUCCAAGCCUC
rnacentral:tRNA from 1 species